UGAGUAACACGUAUGCAACCUGCCUGCCACAGCCGGAUAAUCGGGAGAAAUUCCGUCUAAUACGGCAUAAUGCAUCGACGGGACAUCCUGUUGGUGCCAAAGGUUAAUUCCGGUGGCGGAUGGGCAUGCGUCGCAUUAGUUAGUUGGCGGUGUAACGGACCACCAAGACGACGAUGCGUGGGGUUCUGAGAGGAAGGUCCCCCACACUGGUACUGAGACACGGACCAGACUCCUACGGAAGGCAGCAG
rnacentral:rRNA from 1 species